UCCCCAGUGGCGCAACUGGUUAGCGCGCGGUACUUAUAAUGCCGAGGUUGUGAGUUCGAUCCUCACCUGGGGAA
rnacentral:tRNA from 7 species